GACGAACGCUGGCGGCGUGCUUAACACAUGCAAGUCGAGCGGUAAGGCCCUUUCGGGGGUACACGAGCGGCGAACGGGUGAGUAACACGUGGGUGACCUGCCCUUAGCUCUGGGAUAAGCCUGGGAAACUGGGUCUAAUACCGGAUAUGACUCCAUAACGUAUGUUGUGGGGUGGAAAGCCUUGUGCGGCUAGGGAUGGGCCCGCGGCCUAUCAGCUUGUUGGUGGGGUGAUGGCCUACCAAGGCGACGACGGGUAGCCGGCCUGAGAGGGCGACCGGCCACACUGGGACUGAGACACGGCCCAGACUCCUACGGGAGGCAGCAGUGGGGAAUCUUGCGCAAUGGGCGAAAGCCUGACGCAGCGACGCCGCGUGAGGGAUGACGGCCUUCGGUU
rnacentral:rRNA from 1 species